rnacentral:lncRNA from 1 species
GAAUCUACUUAACACGAUCGUGACUAGCGACCUUCACUACUUACGAAUAUAAAUUCAUAACGAUUAGGUAAAACAAACUUAUAUCCUAGCAUCAAAUUCAAGCAUGCAAAUUAAGCGUGCACUCUCAACCAACAUACAAGAAUAAGUUCUAAAUCAAACGGUUAAGCAAAUUGUAUUCACGACUUAUACAACGAUAACUGAAAGUAAUCAACUUAUUUCACAUAUAUAAUCAUGGUUUUGAAUCCACCCUUAGCCAAAAUGAAAUUAGCCAAUCAUACUUAAAGCAAAACAAAGAUUACAUGAAUUAGACAUUAAAAUCCAAAGAAAGAAAACACCUAGAAUGCUCCAACUUGGCAGCAAGUGCAUCCAAGAUUCCUCAUUUCCCUUGCUUGUGGCAGAUUGGUUUGUGGACAGGUUUUGGGUAGUUCUAUGGUGCAGAAAGGUUUAUGGUGAGUGUAGAGGAGUGUUUGAUGGUGGAAGGGUGGUGGAGAACUUCGGCAAAGAGGGUGGAAGAAGGUGGAGUGGCUGUGAUAUUUUCUGGGCACUAGAAUGGUGUUUUUGGGGUGUUUUGCUGCCUAGGGUGAGUAUGGACGAAUUUCUGUGAUGAAUGGUGAAUAUGAGAGUGUGAACCCUUUGCCAAGGGGUGUGAACAUGUAUAUAUAGGCCCCAAAAACCCUAGAGAAUCAGAUUGGGCAGUGGGGAAAAUGCACAGCAAUGAGGGUGAAUUUGUGGUGUGUAAUGGUCCAAGGAUGAAAAUGGAGCAAUGAUGCAAAGUAUAGAGGGUAAAAUGGAGUGGUAUUUCAGCUAGGGAGCAUGAAUGAUUGUGUUCAUUGCAUGGAAAUGAAAAGAGGAGGUGAAAUGUUUCAGAAAUUAGUCAAAGGUGCAGCAACAUGUGUUGCACACAGCAUUGGAUCCCAAAUGUGGAUAAUGGAGCAUCAAUUGGUGCAUGGAAUGGUUGAAAGUUGUGUGAAAUCUGAUGGGUGAAGGGAACAAGAGGUAUGCAGCAAUUUAGUGUGAUAAUUGAGUGAAUUGAGGCAUGAAAUCAGAAAUAUUUUAGGGGACAAGGAUGAUUAAGCAUGCAUGGGAAUCCAAAGGGAAUGCUAUGUGGUUACACGGCAAGGAGUGGGUGUUCUUUUGUGGCUGAAUUCUUGAUCCUUUUUACAUUAAUUCUUCACAUUCUUAGCCUCUUUAAUUCUUCAAUUUCGUCCAAACCUUGGUUCCAAAUAUGUGACAUGCAUUCCAAGCUCCAUUUUGCUCCAAAAUGCUCCAAAAUGCAUCUUCUUGCCUACUUUGUCCUUAAAAUCUGAAAACACACGAAAAUGACUUUAAACACUAAAAUAACUAAAGAGACACGACAUAAAUGCACAAGAACAAGCCAACUAAGUCGCAUAAAUAUGCUCCUAUCAAAUUCCCCCACACUUAGCUUUUGCUAGUCCUCGAGCAAAACAAAAUAACUAAACAAAACCAAACCAACCAAAUGAACAAAAUCCAACCUAAGCCUUCCAACGUUUGCCUCAGGGAUUUCCAAUGCACAUGUCAUGUUAAAAAUUGUCAUCCCCACAGAUUUUAGUUGUCUUCACACUUAAGCACAUACUUAAUCAUAGUCACCACUUACUUGUUCGCAAUUAAUCGAUUAAAACAAUGUUUUUGAUGUAGUAACAUGCCUUAGAGAAUUUACUCAAGUCCUUACAAAGUAUGCACUCAAUUUUCACUCAGAUUUUCUAACUACACACACUAUACUAGUCAUAUGUGAGAAGAUUGAUGUAAACAUGAAAACGAACGCUCACAUAUAUGUAUUACAAAGAAAGCGAUUUCUGGAGCAUGUUUAGAUAUGAUCUCAUGAAUGGAAUGCUACUACUUAGAUGCGAGAACCAGUGACACCAUAUGCUCAUAUCAAUUUCAAACUCCACAUAUUGAACCACAUGACACUCAAGAUGAAGUUAAGGGUUGUAACGGGGCUUGGGGUGAUGGCUAACAAAUGAAGGAUAAGGAUAACAAUCGUUCUUAAAGCAAUAGCAAGCAAAGUAAUGAAAUUGAAACUUAGAAUUCACUUAGAUUGCAGAAAUCAGCUUUUAGACACGAAGGGAAAAUUCAAGCAAUAUUUAGGGCCGAAUUCUAUGUUUUGGACAAUUUCUUCAACAAGCAGCACUUUAAAACUCUUUUUCACAUAUUUUUCAACUCCCUUUUUUUUUUUUUUUCUCAACUCUUCUUUUCUUUUCAACAAGCAUAAUAACUCACACUUCCCCCACACUUGUUUUCUGCCAUACAUUAAUCAAAAGAAAUUCAAUUUGAAUCAUGCUUUACUAUGCUUCAAGAACAAGGGUAUGGAUGGUCCUAAACUAGGCUAGGUAAGGAUAAUGUGGUUUAACAAAGAAUGUAGGCUAUCAAGGCUCAAUGGGGUUAACUUAAACAUAUAAAGAUAUGGGAUACAUGGCAGUUUGGCUUUGGUGGUGGUAACUACACAACUUCAUCUUGAAUAUGUGUUAUGCAAAUCAAUAGCAUGCUUUGAAUGAAAUAGGCAUGAGUUCUAGCAUUUGGAACUAAAUGAUGAAACGCCUUCUAAGUAAUAACCAAGCAAAGAAUAAUGAGAUCAUGCAACGACUUUAGAAAACAAUAAUGCACAAAUUUUAACUCUCCAAAUAAACAUUUAGGCUCAAGUCUCACAAGGUUGUAGCGUUAGUUUGAGUUCCUUCCUUCAAGCAUGUUACAAAAACUAAUUUUUUUUUUCUUUUAUGAUUACAUGUGAUUUCAUAAGUUAUAACCACAACCAAGCAUAAAUAAAGAGUAAAUCAAACUUUCAUCCAUGUUUAUAACUCUCUUUAACAGUCAUGCAAUUACAAACCGAAUCCUCA